rnacentral:lncRNA from 1 species
GGUUAGACAAUGAAGAUAUAUCAAACUCUAUUAUUCUUGUUUAUUUAUAAAAUGAUAGUAAUUUUAUCUGUUCGUAUGUAUGCUUGGAAGUGUUAUUUCUGGAUCUUGCCUAGUCUCUGCAAAUACAUGCUAACAAGUGUGAAUGCCAGUAUGGAUGGCAACAAUUCAACCAAAACAAUUGCUUAAUCAAAGAUAAGAAUUUGCCCAUUAAUAUCACCAUUGACUCUGGGAAUAUUGCCCAGAUUCCAGAGCCUAACACGACUUAUUAUUUGUGAAUUAUUAUAAUUCCAAAUCCUAACAAGGAUAGGGUUCUUUGGGCAGCAUCUGAAAUUCUAUCAGAUGACUUGAUGUUUGUUUUUUUUUAAGAGAGACAUCAGAUUUUAGACAAGAAAAGCAUUAGAUUUUGAAGUCUAACCUCAAAGAAUGCAAUAGUUAUCUUUCAAUUCCUAAAGUAGUAGCCUUUGGGUGUGGUGCAUUUAUUAACUACAUAAAACAU